UACGUAGGGUGCAAGCGUUGUCCGGAAUUAUUGGGCGUAAAGAGCUCGUAGGCGGCCUGUUGCGUCGGCUGUGAAAACCCGGGGCUCAACCCCGGGCCUGCAGUCGAUACGGGCAGGCUAGAGUCCGGCAGGGGAGACUGGAAUUCCUGGUGUAGCGGUGAAAUGCGCAGAUAUCAGGAGGAACACCGGUGGCGAAGGCGGCAUCCUGGACCGGCAUUGACGCUGAGGCGCGAAAGCCAGGGGAGCAAACGGG
rnacentral:rRNA from 1 species